rnacentral:rRNA from 1 species
AUGGUGGUCUUACACUAUUCGGACAUUUCCCUUACCCUGCCCAUGCCCUGCAUGUACGUUGGCCGGUUGCGAGUCGGCUCUGCCCGUGCAGUAGCCAAAUCCAGGCUUGACCCGGUGGCCGCGCGGCCGGUGAUCCAAAGAGCUCUGCCUCCCUUAGCUUCACUUCCUCUCAUGCCUCCCUGUUCUGCUCGCAAGUGCUUCCGGGCACAGGCGCCCAUGGACAUAGCGGUCGCGGUUGCAUCCCGCCAGCAAGCUGCUGCCUCUGACAGACCGCUCCCGUGCUCUUACACCCCGCGAGCGCCUCCACCGCCUACGCGCACCUGCGCCUGGUCAAGCUCCGCUCAUCCACUGCAGUUCGGGCCGCGCCCGCGCACCCCGCUUCCCCGGCCUGCGGUGCGCCCGCGCGCCCCGCGUUCCGUCGUGCGGCGCCUCCGCCUGCACCGGCCCAGCCGCUCGCCGGCCCCGCCUGCAUCGCGCCACUCCGCCGCUGCGGGUCGCGCUCCUCGCCCCACUACGCUCGUGUUGCUGCGCCCCGGAGUGCCCAUCCCUCUGCUCCGCCUGGGCUCCCCACGAGCGCCGCCAACGGCCUCCAGCUGGCCACCUGCUCGGCCCCCGCUAGCCGCCCCUUCUCCGACUGGCUCCGCCUCGGGCCAUGACCGGGUGCUCCGCGUCCACGGCCGGCUCCGCCUUGCCCUGCUAGCCGGCGUCCGCCCCGUCGCUCUUCCACACGGCCGGGUGCUCCACGUCCGCGGCCGGCUCCCCUGCGCCGCCUUGCCUUGCGUCCGCCUGGCCUCCCGCUCGCCCCGAGCCCCGCGCGCUUCCUCUGCAGCCGUGCCCAGCCCGCCAGCUUCUACAGCCGGCCGCUGCCGCGCCCGCCUGCCGGCUCGACGCCCGCCCGCCAGCUUCUCCAGUCGACUGGUGCCGCACCCGCCCUCCGGCUGA